GUAGGUGGCAAGCGUUGUCCGGAAUUAUUGGGCGUAAAGCGCGCGCAGGUGGUUCUUUAAGUCUGAUGUGAAAGCCCCCCGGCUCAACCGGGGAGGGUCAUUGGAAACUGGGGAACUUGAGUGCAGGAGAGGAAAGUGGAAUUCCAUGUGUAGCGGUGAAAUGCGUAGAUAUGUGGAGGAACACCAGUGGCGAAGGCGACUUUCUGGCCUGUAACUGACACUGAGGCGCGAAAGCGUGGGGAGCAAACAGGGAUUAGAUACCCUGGUAGUCCACGCCGUAAACGAUGAGUGCUAAGUGUUGGGGGGGUUUCCCGCCCCUCAGUGCUGCAGCUAACGCAUUAAGCACUCCGCCUGGGGAGUACGGUCGCAAGACUG
rnacentral:rRNA from 1 species